rnacentral:rRNA from 1 species
GAUGAACGCUGACAGAAUGCUUAACACAUGCAAGUCCACUUGAACUUCGGUUUGUGUGGCGGACGGGUGAGUAACGCGUAGAGAACUUGCCUCACAGUUAGGGACAACAUUUGGAAACGAAUGCUAAUACCAGAUAUUAUGAUUUUAGGGCAUCCUAGAAUCAUCAAAGCUAUAUGCGCUGUGAGAGAGCUUUGCGUCCCAUUAGCUCGUUGGAGGGGUAACGGCUCACCAUGGCGAUGAUGGGUAGCCGGCCUGAGGGGGUGAACGGCCACAAGGGGACUGGGACACGGCCAUUACUCCUACGGGAGGCAGCAGGGGGGAAUAUUGGACAAUGGACCAAGAGUCUGGUCCAGCAAUUCUGCGUGGACGAUGAAGUUUUUCGGAAUGUAAAGUGCUUUCAGUUGGGAAGAAAAAAAUGACGGUACCAACAGAAGAAGUGACGGCUAAAUACGUG